rnacentral:lncRNA from 1 species
GGGCAUUACUGGGCUGGCAGGAGAAGAAGAAUGAUCCUCGGGCUCCAGGGCCCACGUCUGAGCAUCUGGGGUCAGCGAGGGAACCCCAGGCAUCCUUGCCUUGAGAGGCUUCCACGUGGCAGUGUCCAGCUCUUCUGGCCCCAAGGAGCCUCCAGUGAGGACUUUGAUUCCUAAAGAACAGAAGCCUGGGGGCCUCCCUCUCCUCUCACCCUGAAACCUGGAAUCCUGGAGCUGUGCUAGGCAGAGAUUAUAUACAACGGAGUCAUUUAAGACCUGCCUCUGCUGCUAAGUUCUGGGCCUUGGGUGGAUGUGAGGAUACACAACUCGGUGGAGACCUGGUGUGGGGCCUGGCGCACAGUGAGUGGAAGCUGGCUCCUGACCCUGUGGUGAUUCCUGGGUGCUGACCCCUUUCCUGACUGAGCCCCUGGACAAGCAGGAGCCAGGUGUUAAGAGGCCGGUGCUGCUGAAUGAAUGAGUGGAUGCCCUCCCCACACAGAAGCAACUUCUCUUCAUCAACAUUUGUGACUCACAUCUUGUCAAAUCUCUCCAGCUUGAAAACCUUCUUCCUGCAGCUGCCGAUUGGAGAGCGUCCACAUUUCAUGGCCAGAGACCUGAAUUCCGGGGCCAGCCGGUUGUCCAGGAGCUGGAUGAUCACUCCUUUGAGCCAGCCGUUCCCCGUGGUCAUGCGGGGCUUGCCGUCCCCCAGGCUGGCUCUGAGGAUUAGACGCAUUUUAUCUUGUGCAGGGAACACAGGGCAUCGAGAUACCACCCAAAGACAGCCACCGCGGACUCACUCCAAGUGUUCUUCCUGGGGGGCUCCCUAGCACAUAUGUGGGCAAUUUCCCCUGUAUUGUUCUAUAAUCCUUGAUGGUUGCUCUAUAAUUGCUCUCAAAUGGUUUAAUCAUAAUAAAUAGCAUCUGCAGAGCAGUUU